UACGAAGGGUGCUAGCGUUGUUCGGAAUCACUGGGCGUAAAGCGCGCGUAGGCGGCUACUCAAGUCAGAGGUGAAAGCCCUGGGCUCAACCCAGGAAUUGCCUUUGAAACUGUGUAGCUAGAGUGUCGGAGGGGAUAGCGGAAUUCCUAAUGUAGAGGUGAAAUUCGUAGAUAUUAGGAGGAACACCGGUGGCGAAGGCGGCUAUCUGGACGACAACUGACGCUGAGGCGCGAAAGCGUGGGGAUCAAACAGG
rnacentral:rRNA from 1 species